CAACACUUGGGAGAGCACUAGCUCAACACACUGGCUGCUACAAUGAUGCGCCUCUCCGGACAAGAGCUUCUCUUUCGGAAUCGCGUACAACAAAGAAAGGGGUUGUGAUCUACAGCGCAUUCUUAAGUGAAUCCUGAAAUUCAUUUGCGUUUGUCUGGAGCUGCUGGAAACCGAGAGCUUAGCCACUGAGAAGCCAGUUACAGAAACUUUUUCAGAAUGGAGAGUCCUGCCCUCUUACACAAGGUGAAAAAAGCAAAGCGAAACAAAAUCUGAUCUAUCAAUGCAGUGAAUUCUUUUAAAAUCUGGGAAACACUCCCCUCUCCCAUUCUAUUUGAUCUUUCUUCUUUGCAUGAAAAGAGUCUUUUGUUCGUUUAUUUUUACAACCCGCGUUUUGUCGAGCACGUUGCGUGUGCCAGGUACUUGGCUGGGGAAAGCAGGUUGGCUUGCUGAUUUGGAUGGUGCAACCCUAGGGAAGGAGCUUGUUGGAGAGGUCCUUGUAGGGAUGAGAGCGGGCCGUGCCUGAGAUGGCUGCCACAGAGGAGGGGUGGGGGGACGGGAGGAUGACAAUACGCCCUUACCAGGACCUUGGGCAGGACUCCUCUACCUCCGCUCCCUCUUACAGCUUCCCGGAGGUUGCCAGCCAUUGCUCUCCAGGCUGCUCUUCUCCAGGUCAGGCAGCCAGAGGCAGAGUGUGGCUGGACUUGUUUACCCCUUUGCACUAGGCACCUGGGAUGAGCGUUGGCCAUUUUGCAUGAUGAAUCCCCAUCACUUAUUUCUUGUGAGCUCUAAGGCGGUCUGAAAACAAGAAGCCGGUCCGGGUGUUGGGCCCUGCUUCGUACCGUUUGUCAGAGCCAAGGGCAGCUAGGACAUUGGAGACCAAAGCAGGAAGGCUGACUGCGGAGGGUGUUACAGGCUGAAGGUUCUGAGCCUGGGACUUCAAGAAGAGCUGAAGAUAAGAAUUCACGUGUGCUGUCUGACUUUUCCUGGGGAGAGGUGAAGAAAUGUCUACUCACCUCAGACUGGUUGCCCAGGACUGACCAAAGGAACAAUUCUACUGAGUCUACCAUGGUGAACCAUGAGUUUACUGGGGCUACUUGCACCUCUCCCUCCCCGGGACACAAAGGCUUGCUCACUGCUGAAAACCUCGCCCCCAAACUGGAUGUAGAACACUCAGCUACUUCUUCAGCACCAUGUCUGCCUGCCUGCCACCAUGCUACCUGCCAUGAUGAUAAUGGACCAAACCUCUGAAACUGUGAGCCAGCCCACAGUGAAAUGCUUUCUUUUAUAAGAGCUGCCAUGGUCAUGGAGUCUCUUCACAGCAAUGGAACAGUGACUAAGACAGUCUUCUCUACUGAGAUGGAAAAUGGGGACUCGAAGUCUGGCCUUCAUGCUGAUGAGACCAUUCCACAGAAUUUCUCCCGACAUUUGGCUGGCCAGAACUACAAUUUUGUUCUUUAUGUGAAAUGCUUGGUGUGCCAAAACAAUGCCCUAUGGGGUUGGGGGAGGAUAGCAUCAUUCUCUAAGCCCCUGCAGUAAGUGUAUGCCAUGAAUUGUUUAAUCUACUCACCCGUGCAUCCAUUGUUGGGCCUUUGGGUGCUUUAACCUUAUUGUGAAUAAUGCUGCUGUGAGUACAGAGGUCCCUUCAUGCUUUUUUGUUUUGUUUUGUUUUAAAUUUCAGUUCUUUGUGUGUACUCCCAGAACUGGAACCACCAGAUCAAAUGGUAAUUUAUGUUGCAUUUUGAAGAAAUCUCAAUGCUGUUUUCCACAGUGGUUAUAUUACUUUGUAGCCCUACCUACAGUACACAAGCAUUUCCCUUUCCCUAGAGCCUUGCCAACACUUGAUUUUCCUGCUCUCUCAUCGAUGGUAGAUUGUCAUUUAUAAGAAGUAAUAUCUCACUGUAGUUUUUGUUUGUGUCAAGCUACCUAGGCUUGCUGGCCUGAAACUCAUUUAUGUAGCUUCUGUUGGCAUCAAACUUGCAAUCCUCCUGCCUUUGUCUCCUGGGUGCUGAAAUCACAGGCAUGCAUCAACACCCACAGCAUCUCACUGCAGUUUUGAUUUGGAUUUCUGUGAUGAUUUGGUGAACUGAGCAUCUCUGAUGAGUUUAUAAUCAGUCACUUAUACAUUGUACAUGCACUUUGGAGAAAUUUCCAUCUCAGCAAAAAUGGUAAAUUGAAGGUUGCAUAC